GCCUUGGCAGUAUCAGUCGAGUGCAAAUGGUCUACCACAAGGAGAACUCCAAUUACAGGGAGACACAAGAUCCAUCUCUGUCUACCAUGUGAGGAUGCAAUGAAAAGAGAGCUGUCUACAAACCAGGAAGAGGACCCUCACCAGACACCAGAUCUUCUGGCAGCUUGAUCUUGGACAUUCCACCCUCCAAAACAGUGACUGACGUGUGGAAUAGCAUUUGCAGAAUGGAAUAGAAAGGGACCGGAGGAAGCUAGAACAGCCUGAGAAGCAGUGGCAAGGUGGCCAAAGCAAGAGCUGAUAAAUACGCCCCAAAGCAGCCUCAUACAGGAUCUGGCAAGAGCAGCUACUGCCAAAAAGGCUAAUUGAACACGUUGAAGGCUGUGAUAUUUCUGCCAAAGUGGAAAGAGAGACAGAACUGUCAGUUUAC